AUUGAACGCUGGCGGCAUGCUUUACACAUGCAAGUCGAACGGCAGCGCGGGCUUCGGCCUGGCGGCGAGUGGCGAACGGGUGAGUAAUGCAUCGGAACGUGCCCAGUAGUGGGGGAUAGCCCGGCGAAAGCCGGAUUAAUACCGCAUACGACCUGAGGGUGAAAGCGGGGGACCGAAAGGCCUCGCGCUAUUGGAGCGGCCGAUGUCGGAUUAGCUAGUUGGUGGGGGUAAAGGCUUACCAAGGCGACGAUCCGUAGCUGGUCUGAGAGGACGACCAGCCACACUGGGACUGAGACACGGCCCAGACUCCUACGGGAGGCAGCAGUGGGGAAUUUUGGACAGUGGGGGCAACCCUGAUCCAGCCAUGCCGCGUGCGGGAAGAAGGCCUUCGGGUUGUAAACCGCUUUUGUUCGGGAAGAAAUCCUCUGGGCUAAUACCCGGGGGGAUGACGGUACCGGAAGAAUAAGCACCGGCUAACUACGUG
rnacentral:rRNA from 1 species